UGAGGAAUAUUGGUCAAUGGGCGCUAGCCUGAACCAGCCAAGUAGCGUGAAGGAUGAAGGCUCUAUGGGUCGUAAACUUCUUUUAUAUAAGAAUAAAGUGCAGUAUGUAUACUGUUUUGUAUGUAUUAUAUGAAUAAGGAUCGGCUAACUCCGUGCCAGCAGCCGCGGUAAUACGGAGGAUCCGAGCGUUAUCCGGAUUUAUUGGGUUUAAAGGGAGCGUAGGUGGACUGGUAAGUCAGUUGUGAAAGUUUGCGGCUCAACCGUAAAAAUUGCAGUUGAUACUGUCAGUCUUGAGUACAGUAGAGGUGGGCGGAAUUCGUGGUGUAGCGGUGAAAUGCUUAGAUAUCACG
rnacentral:rRNA from 1 species